UACAGAGGGUGCAAGCGUUAUUCGGAAUUAUUGGGCGUAAAGCGCGCGUAGGUGGUUUGGUAAGUCUGAUGUGAAAUCCCCGGACUCAAUUCGGGAAGUGCAUUGGAUACUGCUAGACUGGAGUAUGGGAGAGGAGAGUGGAAUUCCAGGUGUAGAGGUGAAAUUCGUAGAUAUCUGGAGGAACAACAGAGGCGAAGGCGGCUCUCUGGACCAUUACUGACACUGAGGCGCGAAAGCGUGGGGAGCAAACAGG
rnacentral:rRNA from 1 species